CCACCAGCAUUAACAAACCUGAAAGAGAAACUGAUUUAAUAACUUGAAACGUUAUCUCUGCGCCACAAAUUCUCUUCUGACAAUUUCACAAAGUAUGGACCUCUCAUCGUAACGCGAUUAUUUGAACUUUGAUCUUUGAUUUCUUCGCGCAAGUUCAAAGACUGUGGACGUGAAAUAAUUAAUAAUAUUAUCGAUUGAGAAGAAAGGGAAGAGCGAGCAAAGUAUCCUGGUGCAAUAUAAGCUUGGUGUACUUUAUUACUCACCGGAAACUAUGAAGACCACGCCAGCGACAAAGACGCAAAGUCUGUGUCUCGGGUGAGUAACGUGAGCUGUGAAGUAACAAACUUCGGCUACCACCAGCAGCGAUGUUGCAGCGAAGAAGAACAUUGCCGACUUG